rnacentral:rRNA from 1 species
UAGGGAGGUGUCGCGGGUUCCGGCCGUGAAAGCCCAUCUUUUACACAAGGUUGACCUCGGAUCAGGUAGGAAUACCCGCUGAACUUAAGCAUAUCAAUAAGCGGAGGAAAAGAAACCAACAGGGAUUGCCCCAGUAACGGCGAGUGAAGCGGCAACAGCUCAAAUUUGAAAUCUGGCUUCGGCCCGAGUUGUAAUUUGUAGAGGAUGCUUUUGGUGAGGUGCCUUCUGAGUUCCCUGGAACGGGACGCCAGAGAGGGUGAGAGCCCCGUAUAGUUGGACACCGAGCCUCUGUAAAGCUCCUUCGACGAGUCGAGUAGUUUGGGAAUGCUGCUCAAAAUGGGAGGUAUAUCUCUUCUAAAGCUAAAUACUGGCCAGAGACCGAUAGCGCACAAGUAGAGUGAUCGAAAGAUGAAAAGCACUUUGAAAAGAGGGUUAAAUAGUACGUGAAAUUGUUGAAAGGGAAGCGCUUGUGACCAGACUUGUGCCCGGCUGAUCAUCCAGUGUUCUCACUGGUGCACUCUGCCGGGCUCAGGCCAGCG